rnacentral:lncRNA from 1 species
CUAAAUAUAAGCAAGCACAUAUCAUUUGAACUAAAGAGAUAGAUUCAUUAACCAAGAUAGUUUAAGUCAAUUUAGUUUAGAUUCUAUUUGCUUAAGAUAAUUAUCAAUAAGAUAUGUUAACUAUGUUUUAAUCAAUUUAUCUUAAACAUUUAUUUCUAUCAAAAUUCAGAUUAUGAUUUAUUUGUCAUCAAUAAAAUAUGAUUAAUUAAAGUUAGAUUGAAGUCUUGCACAAGGUCACAUAAUGAGAAUACAAUCUGGUCUACUAGCUGUAUGAUAAAAUAAUUAUUCUAUCAUGCUUCAAUACAGCUUUAAAACAAUAGAUCUACUUUGCUCAUCCUUUUCAAAUUCUACAAGAUGGGGUCAUAGACAUACCUUCUUCAUGCCAAUCUUCUAUAAGAGUUUUCUUGUGGACUAACUUUGGUCAAUGAAGAUCCCCUUUCUUGUUUGUCUUAAUUUGGAGUUUGAGAGAAGAUGUUAAUUCAUUCAUCAUACAUAUUUCAAACUCACCUUGCAUAAGCUUAGUAAAAUCUUCAUAUAAAUCUUCAUUAGUAGAACCAAAAAUGAUGUCAUCAAUGUAUACUUUG